rnacentral:rRNA from 1 species
GACGAACGCUGGCGGCGUGCUUAACACAUGCAAGUCGAACGGAAAGGCCCAGCUUGCUGGGUGCUCGAGUGGCGAACGGGUGAGUAACACGUGGGUGAUCUGCCUCUAACUUCGGGAUAAGCUUGGGAAACUGGGUCUAAUACCGGAUAGGACAAUCGUUUAGUGUCGGUUGUGGAAAGUUUUUUCGGUUAGGGAUGAGCCCGCGGCCUAUCAGCGUGUUGGUGGGGUAAUGGCCUACCAAGGCGUCGACGGGUAGCCGGCCUGAGAGGGUGGACGGCCACAUUGGGACUGAGAUACGGCCCAGACUCCUACGGGAGGCAGCAGUGGGGAAUAUUACAGUAUGGGCGCGAGCCUGAUGCAGCGACGCCGCGUGGGGGAUGACGGCCUUCGGGUUGUAAACCUCUUUCGACAGGGACGAAGCUUUGGUGACGGUACCUGUAUACGAAGCACCGGCUAAUUACGUG